CGCAAAGGCAUCAUUGAGUGCAGCGUUGAUGAGCCGGUCGCCGCCGCCGGCCGCCGGCUCACCGGCGCUGCACUCAAUUACGCAUUUG
rnacentral:pre_miRNA from 1 species